UUCAGUCGUCAGCAUCACUGCUGAGUGGAAUAAUCCUGAUGCUAAAUAGUUCGCUAUCUGUGAAUGGGUGCUUCCUUGCGAUACUCACUACUCGGUCAGUGAGGAAGUGCGUUGCUGUCAACGAGCUUUCUAACUGUCAUUACCUGCGCUUUUCGAUCGUCGAGUGGCCAGGAUGUGGCUUUGAGAUUGUUCGCACUUAGUAAUCGCGAUGCUGGCUUCCAACGGUUGCCUCCGGCCCGUCUUGAAACACGGACCAAGGAGUCUAACGUAUGUGCGAGUGUGUGAGUGGCAAACUUAUACGCGUAAUGAAAGUGAGGCCGUAUGGCCAUGUUGGGGUCACCAACAACCGACCUUGAUCUUCGGUGAAAGGUUUGAGUAUGAGCAUAUCCGUUAGGACCCGAAAGAUGGUGAACUAUGCCUGAGCAGGGUGAAGCCAGGGGAAACUCUGGUGGAGGCUCGUAGCGAUACUGACGUGCAAAUCGUUCGUCAGACUUGGGUAUAGGGGCGAAAGACUAAUCGAACCAUCUAGUAGCUGGUUCCCUCCGAAGUUUCCCUCAGGAUAGCUAGAGUCUUUAUCAGUUUUGUCAGGUAAAGCGAAUGAUUAGAGGUUCCGGGGAAGUAACUUCCUCGACCUAUUCUCAAACUUUAAAUGGGCAAGAUCCAGUAGUUACUUAAUUGAACUAUUGGGGUCAAUGAGACGACUCUAAGUGGGCCAUUUUUGGUAAGCAGAACUGGCGAUGAGGGAUGAACCUAACGCUCGGUUAAGGUGCUAAACUGCUCGCUCAUCAGAUACCACAAAGGGUGUUGGUCGAUCUUAACAGCAGGACGGUGGUCAUGGAAGUCGAAAUCCGCUAAGGAGUGUGUAACAACUCACCUGCCGAAUCGACUAGCCCCGAAAAUGGAUAGCGCUGAAGCGAGUGACCGAUACCGGGCCAUUGUUGCAAGAUAAUUGGCAACAAUGAGUAGGAGGGCGUGGGGGUUGUGAAGAAGCUUGGACGUGAGUCUGAGUGAAACAGCUUCCAGUGCAGA
rnacentral:ncRNA from 1 species